AGCUGAUGCUGAGAAUAUCACACUCUUUGAGUAUCAUGGUUCAUUCCAGACCAACAAUGAAACAUAUGAUCGUUUUGAAAGAUUUGACAUCGAAGGAGAUGAUGAAACACAGAUGAACUUCAAUCCAAGAGAAGGUGCUGAAAUACCUACAACUCUCAUCCCAUCACCACCUCGUCAGCAGGAGCAGGACAUUCCCGAAGGAGUCAACCCCACAAGCCCCCAGCGCCAGGAGCAUGGUAGGGACGAAUUUGCUGAGCGGAGGGAGGAACAAAACAUACCGGACAGAGAGGUAUUUGCUAUUACUAGGAAUACUUUCAUCUAGUGAGA